rnacentral:rRNA from 1 species
AGUGAACGCUGGCGGUAUGCCUAACACAUGCAAGUCGAACGGAAGCACAGUAAGCGCUUGCUCUUACGGGUGGCGAGUGGCGGACGGGUGAGGAAUACAUCGGCAUCUACUUUUUCGUGGGGGAUAACGUAGGGAAACUUACGCUAAUACCUCAUACGACCUACGGGUGAAAGCAGGGGAUCUUCGGACCUUUCGCGAUUGAAUGAGCCGAUGUCGGAUUAGCUAGUUGGCGGGGUAAAGGCCCACCAAGGCGACGAUCCGUAGCUGAUCUGAGAGGAUGAUCAGCCACACUGGAACUGAGACACGGUCCAGACUCCUACGGGAGGCAGCAGUGGGGAAUAUUGGACAAUGGGCGCAAGCCUGAUCCAGCCAUACCGCGUGGGUGAAGAAGGCCUUCGGGUUGUAAAGCCCUUUUGUUGGGAAAGAAAAGCAGCAGGUUAAUACCCCGCUGUUCUGACGGUACCCAAAGAAUAAGCACCGGCUAACUUCGUG